GAGAAGAAGUAAGGAUGCUGUUUUGGCAAAAAUAUGGGAAAAAGUGAAAAAGCUACUUUUGGGGCAUAUAAGCUGAAAAGUGACUUUUUUUACAAAAUUUCUAUCAAAUAAAAGUGGAAAUCAUUUAUUCUCAUGUAGUUUGACGAAUUAGUACCUAUAGUUCAUUCAGGGAAGUUGUCAAAGUACAAACUCAAUAUUUCCUAUAAUUCACCUCUUAGGCCACAGACCAC
rnacentral:lncRNA from 1 species